CCCAAAUAAGAACACCAAGAAGUAUAAUUGGAAAGCAAUUUACGACGAAAACGACGAAGAACAGUUGAAUCAAGUAAGUCAAUGUUCUCAGGUGGAGGUUGAAUUCGCAUCUGAGCAUUAGCAAGAUGAAGAACAAGAUGUUCCCUUUGAUUUUUAACAUUAUCUAAUUGAAAACCAAAGGAAAUUCCAAGCCAGUCAAGUAAGUCCAUUCCAUCUCUCCAAACAACAUAUGGGGGUUUACGAAGAUCUCCAACAGUUCUAAGUGCAGCAGUUGCAGCACGAACUUCUGGGUAACGAAGUGAUGGAUGAUCAGCAAGUAAGUUAUGAAUUGGGAUUAUGUUGUAUGGUUCUUCUUCCCUUUGUCGUGGUGGUGGUGGGUUUGAAUUGUUGUAACCCACUCCAUGCCCUCCUCGUGUAGGUAAUGGUGGUGGUGGGCGUUGGCGUAAGCUCAUUGCAUCGAAUUAGCUAGUUUCACUGUUUGCUUGCUUGCUUCUUCAACUUAUCUCUUUCUUUGCCUGAAACAAAAAAAAAAAAAAAAAUAGCAAUAAGUACUUUGUGUAGACGAAAUUGAAAGAAAAAAGAAAGAAAGUGGGGUUAUGUGCGU
rnacentral:lncRNA from 1 species